GACGAACGCUGGCGGCGUGCUUAACACAUGCAAGUCGAACGGAAAGGCCCUGCUUUUGUGGGGUGCUCGAGUGGCGAACGGGUGAGUAACACGUGAGUAACCUGCCCUUGACUUUGGGAUAACUUCAGGAAACUGGGGCUAAUACCGGAUAGGAGCUCCUGCUGCAUGGUGGGGGUUGGAAAGUUUCGGCGGUUGGGGAUGGACUCGCGGCUUAUCAGCUUGUUGGUGGGGUAGUGGCUUACCAAGGCUUUGACGGGUAGCCGGCCUGAGAGGGUGACCGGCCACAUUGGGCCUGAGAUCCGGCCCAGACUCCUACGGGAGGCAGAAGUGGGGAAUAUUGCACAAUGGGCGGAAGCCUGAUGCGGCAACGCCGCGUGCGGGAUGACGGCCUUCGGGUUGUAAACCGCUUUCGCCUGUGACGAAGCGUGAGUGACGGUAAUGGGUAAAGAAGCACCGGCUAACUACGUG
rnacentral:rRNA from 1 species